rnacentral:rRNA from 1 species
ACGGGAGGCAGCAGUGGGGAAUAUUGGACAAUGGGGGAAACCCUGAUCCAGCGACGCCGCGUGAGUGAAGAAGUAUUUCGGUAUGUAAAGCUCUUUAAGCUGGAAAGAAAAUGACGGUACCAGCAGAAUAAGUCCCGGCUAACUACGUGCCAGCAGCCGCGGUAAUACGUAGGGGACAAGCGUUAUCCGGAUUUACUGGGUGUAAAGGGAGCGUAGACGGCAAUGCAAGUCUGAAGUGAAAGCCCGCGGCUUAACUGCGGAACUGCUUUGGAAACUGUAUAGCUAGAGUGUCGGAGAGGUGAGUGGAAUUCCUAGUGUAGCGGUGAAAUGCGUAGAUAUUAGGAAGAACACCGGUGGCGAAGGCGGCUCACUGGACGAUAACUGACGUUGAGGCUCGAAAGCGUGGGGAGCAAACAGGAUUAGAUACCCUGGU